AAGCGUUGAAGCAUAAUAGCGUACCGGGAUGCCUUGUUAUGCAGAGCUUUCAGUARGGGUUGUGCAGUAACCUCAAACCGGAGUAGGCUGCAAAGCCGAAAGAAAUAGCUCAAA
rnacentral:ncRNA from 1 species